GCACAACGGAAACGGUGCUGUUCUGAUUGACCAAUUGAAAAACGGGGAAUGAUUGUGUUGUGGGUUGGGGAACGCUCCACUGACCUUUCGUCACUCAUUGCUUCAAGCCACACCCUACUACACCCACUAAGCGGAGAAAGCGUACCUCAACGUCUGUCCAAGAAUGUUGAAAUGUUGAAUGUUUUGAAGAAACGUGUUGUUCCGUACAAACCGUCACACUACCUAGCUACUGUUUAAUCGAACUGAAUGCACCCCAGCUCCCUGUGUUCUCUGUCAGUUCUGACGCUAGUGGCUGUUGUGUUCAUGGUACCAAUGAAAGACAGAAGUGAGGAUGUGUUAAGCUUUUUGAAUGGUGCCCUUGAUGUUGCUCCCGCUACUCAAAGCACCUCAGGAAAAAUCAAAGGUCCUGAAAACACCUUUGGUAAACCAGCUCCAACCCCUGCAAGACCAAGUCCUUUAAGACCAACAGAGAACUCUGCAGAAAUCUCAAAUGUUACGCAGACUGAAAACUCUGCUUGUUUAACAGAUGUUGUAGACUCAGAUGCCAGAUCCAAAGAGAAAUGCAACUCCGAUGAUCUUACAGAUGCAGAACGAUCUGAAAGUAACUCAGCAGAAAGCAGAGAGGAUUAUGAUGACUCUCUGGGAUCUAAUACAAAGAUUACACAAACUGUGACAGACGACAGUAGCAGCGACGAGACUGACAGUUCUCCUCCAAGUGAUGUGAGAAAAUACAAACAACCUCCAGGAAGGAGAACCAUAAACCCAGACCAUGUCGACAGCAUGCAGACAACCACCAGGCAGGAUCCAACCAAUGGGAGCGAGGAGCUGGAUAGAGAGACUCAGAGGGACCCCACAGUGGGGAGAGAGAGAACCAGCAGAGUGCUCAUUGAUCUCAACAGUGAAGAGGAUGUGAUGGUGGGCUGUCAGGGUACUGUCUGUAUGCCCGGAGAGCAGGGGACUACAGUCAAUGGAGGUGAAAAUGAUGAGAAUACAAGUCUAAACAGUAGAGAUAGAGAUAUCCAAAGCCAAGAGGUCACAGGCACAGCCACGGAGCAGGCCCUACGUAGGGGUAGUUGUAGGGGUGUAGUGAAUGGAGUGUUGGACACAGCCAGAGAACAGCAGGACUUGGACAGUAUGGAGCAUGUCAAUGGUAGACCCAAUGGUACUGAUGAAGCCAAGAGUAGAGGUUCAUCUGGCUUCUAUUCUACCAUGAUUCCAAACUACGGCUUUACAAAAAUGAAGAUCCACAGCAGAAUUCUUUAACUACUGAACCUAUAUUAUUGAAAAAUAUCUGAAUGAUUGCUUUCUAUCCUAACAGAAACCAGAGAUGACAUCAGCACUGAGACGAACCCAGUCGUGAUUGGUUAGCCUCCAGGAGUCCCAGCCAGGAGCCCCAGCCAGGAGCUCCAGCCAGGAGCCUGUCAGUGCCAGAGGCUUCCUCCAGGUAGAGUUGGCUCAGCUCUACCCUGCAGGGCCUGUAAAUCUCCCUGCCUCUCACUCGUGUGUCGUCUCCCUCAAGCUCCACCGACUCUACCAGACCGCAGAGUCCCUCUCACACUUAUAUUCAUGACAGAGACGUCAGUACAUCUGUGGAUAUUUACCACCAAUUUUUCACUUGAUCUUGAAAUGGUAUAAAUGGUAUUCUGACAGCAGCUGUGCCCCCUGGUCUUACUGCCGGUAGUCAAUUUGAAUUGUAGGUGAAUGGAAAUACGAUGUUUGGCUCCAAUCUGAUCUGAUCAAUCUGAUGAAAUAAAGGUUUCUCAUAAAGCAUUGUUUGUUGUACUAAUUAGAGGUAAUUCAAUAAAAGGCUGUGUAUACA
ensembl:lncRNA